rnacentral:lncRNA from 1 species
GUUUAUAUUGUGUCUAGUCAGCAGUAAUAAGAAGAGGCUUGUCACUGCCAAGUCAACUCUGCCAAAGAAAAUAAAUGAACUGGAAAUAAUCUGUAAAGACUUACAAAAGGUUGUGUUCAGUUUCAAGAGUUGCUCUAAGUCUGAUGUAGUACAUGUUGUCAAUUCCUUUGGGAUGUAUUCCUCUCCCAGUAGUGUCUUUCAUCUCUUUGCUUUUGAUUACGCUCGAGUAGUUCAUAAAACUAAAGACACUCACUCCUCAUCCUCCUCUUCUUCUCAAGAUGUCAUUCCAACUUAUUUCAAUCCUCGUGACUGGCAGAAGGAAUUGGAUAGACUAGGAGUGAACCAGAAGCAGUGGAGGGUCACUGAGGCUAACCAACACUUCCUCCUCUGUGACAG